UCAUCAUGUGCCGAGUUAACUCCUGUUUUUCACUGAAACCUUUUCCACACUUCACACAUGAAAUCAGGUUUUGAACCGUAUGAGUUCUCAUGUGAGCAUCAAAAACAGAUUUUAAAGCGAAACGCUUUUUACAGAUGACACAUGAGAAAGGUUUUCUUCUUUCCUGAGUUUGCUUCUCAGCUUCAGCAGCUUCCUUUAAGAGGACUUGGUUCCCGUUUGGUCCUGAUUCAGUUUGGUGUGUUUGCUCACCAACAUGAACCAACAUGCAGAGGUUCUAACUCCUCCUGGUCCAGAGUGGAUCUUCUCUCUUGGUUAAACUGCAGGGAACCUGGAGAAGAAAACAGAGAAAAAGAGUUAUUGUUAACUUUAUUGAAAUAAGUAGGAAAAAUCUUGCAUUGUUUAAAACAGAAAUCAACAUAAAA